rnacentral:misc_RNA from 1 species
GCCAGUUUACAGGGACUGAAGAUGUCAUGAAGUUAAGAGUCCUUGAAGAAUUACCAAAAACUAGGGUCUGCCCUGAAGUUGCAGUGGAAGGCUUUGUAGAAGAAUUUCCAGUGUUCCUAUCACUGGUACCGGACAGAACUACUCCGUUCCUCCCUUCUGAAGUUUGGUGAUUCUUCUGCUUUGUUGUUUGGGGUGCAGGUGCUACCUGAAACCCUGUCCGCUGUAUGUCGGGAAGAUUCUGAAAGAUGGUUGUGUUUUGCGCUAUCGGUGUGAAGUUGAGGUUAGAUGGGGUA